CCAUUCGGUUAUGUCUUUGAGGGUUAUGGUUGUAGCUUCGGUCUGCUACCUCUUACCCAUGUCUUUUGAGUACCUUCGUUUCCUCGGCGGGUCCGCCCGCCGAUUGGACAACAUUCAAACCCUUUGCAGUUGCAAUCAGCGUCUGAAAAAACAUAAUAGUUACAACUUUCAACAACGCUUCUCUUGGUUCUGGCAUCGAUGAAGAACGCAGCGAAAUGCGAUAAGUAGUGUGAAUUGCAGAAUUCAGUGAAUCAUCGAAUCUUUGAACGCACAUUGCGCCCCUUGGUAUUCCAUGGGGCAUGCCUGUUCGAGGGUCAUUUGUACCUUCAAGCUCUGCUUGGUGUUGGGUGUUUGUCUCGCCUCUGCGUGUAGACUCGCCUUAAAACAAUUGGCAGCCGGCGUAUUGAUUUCGGAGCGCAGUACAUCUCGCGCUUUGCACUCAUAACGACGACGUCCAAAAGUACAUUUUUACACUCUUGACCUCGGAUCAGGUAGGGAUACCCGCUGAACUUAAGCAUAUCAAUAGGGGGAGGAAGAUCAUUACCUAGAGUUUGUAGACUUCGGUCUGCUACCUCUUACCAUGUCUUUUGAGUACCUUGUUUCUGGCGGUCCCGCGAUUGGACAACAUUCAACCUUUGCGUUGCAAUCGCGUCUGAAAAAUUUAAUAGUUACAACUUUCACAAGGAUCUCUUGGUUCUGGCAUCAGAAGAAGACAAAAUGGCAUAAGUAGUGUGAAAUUGCAGAAUUAGUGAAAUCAUCGAAAUCUUUGAACGCAUCUCUUGCUAUUCAGGGGCAUGCGUUGCGGCUCUUUUACUUACGUCUGUGUGGUUGGGUGUUUUGUCUGCUCUGCUGUAACUCUUAAAACAAUGGAGCGGCUAUGAUUUGUAGCAUAUGUCUUUUCUCUUAACACACUCAAGUAUUUUACUCUUGACUUCGAUCAGUAGGGAUACCGCUGAACUAAGCUAUUCAUUAAGGCGGAGGAAAGAGU
rnacentral:rRNA from 1 species